rnacentral:misc_RNA from 1 species
CAAUAAGUGUUCUACUGCACUUUUUAAAAAUCCAUAUCCACCUUGUGUGCAAUGUUAGAUCUCGUCAAUCUUGGCGAGGUUUUUAUACAUCAACUCAUUCUUUAACUAAUUUGUCUGAAAAAUAUUAUGAAUACUUAAUUCAAAAUA